AAGUCGUAACAAGGUUUCCGUAGGUGAACCUGCGGAAGGAUCAUUAACAAAUUCAAAUUCACACAUGUUUCCCACGUGUCAACCCCCACAGCGUUACCUUCACAGGUGCGUUGGUGUUGACACGUGGUGUAUACAUACUUACACAUACACCUUGAUUGACAACACCUAGUGAUACAUCUAGUUAAACUGUAUACAACUUUUAACAAUGGAUCUCUUGGCUCUU
rnacentral:misc_RNA from 1 species